CCUGCCUACACAGGGAGGAACAAGCUUCAGAGCAGAGGGCUAGACAUGCAGGGAGGGAUUUUAAUCCCGCAAAGGAAUACAGCAGAGCUGUACAAAAGCUGAUACGGCGAGAGCUCCUGGGUUGGCGUGUAUGUCUGUCUUCAGAAGAGGAAGAUAAAGAAAAUGGUUGCAAAAAUAACAUCCAAUAAUGAAAUGAAAACAAGCUGAAUGGUUACACUGAGUGGAGGAGGGAAGAGGUAGUCGCAGACAGCUGGAGCAUGUCUGGGCCAGUGUCUCAGCCCUUUUCUUUCUGCU
rnacentral:lncRNA from 1 species